GACGAACGCUGGCGGCGUGCUUAACACAUGCAAGUCGAACGGAUUGCUUGGUGCUUGCACUGAGUGGUUAGUGGCGAACGGGUGAGUAACACGUGAGUAACCUGCCCCCUUCUUUGGGAUAAGCACCUGAAAGGGUGUCUAAUACUGAUUAUUCUGCUGGAAUCGCAUGGUUUUGGUCGGAAAGGUUUUUUCUGGUGGGGGAUGGGCUCGCGGCUUAUCAGCGUGUUGGUGGGGUAAUGGCUUACCAAGGCUUUGACGGGUAACCGGCCUGAGAGGGUGACCGGUCACAUUGGGACUGAGAUACGGCCCAGAAUCCUACGGGAGGCAGCAGUGGGGAAUAUUGCACAAUGGACGAAAGUCUGAUGCAGCGACGCCGCGUGAGGGAUGAAGGCCUUCGGGUUGUAAACCUUUUUCGCUUUUGACCAAGGCAGCAUUUUGGUGUCGUUGAGGGUAUGAGGUAAAGAAGCUCCGGCUAACUACGUGCCAGCAGCCGCAGUAAAAC
rnacentral:rRNA from 1 species